AGAAUCAACGCUGGCGGCGUGCCUAACACAUGCAAGUCGCACGAGAAAGGGGAGCAAUCCCUGAGUACAGUGGCGCACGGGUGAGUAACACGUGAAUAAUCUACCUCCGAGUGGGGAAUAACUGAGAGAAAUCUUAGCUAAUACCGCAUAACACUUACGAGUCAAAGCAGCAAUGCGCUUGGAGAGGAGUUCGCGGCAGAUUAGUUAGUUGGCGGGGUAAUGGCCCACCAAGACGAUGAUCUGUAUCCGGCCUGAGAGGGCGCACGGACACACUGGAACUGAAACACGGUCCAGACUCCUACGGGAGGCAGCAGUGGGGAAUUUUGCGCAAUGGGGGAAACCCUGACGCAGCAACGCCGCGUGGAGGAUGAAGCCCCUUGGGGUGUAAACUCCUUUCGAUCGGGAAGAUAAUGACGGUACCGAUAUAAGAAGCCCCGGCUAACUUCGCGCCAGCAGCCGC
rnacentral:rRNA from 1 species